AAUAACGCUGGCGGCAUGCUUAACACAUGCAAGUCGAACGAAUAGUAGCAAUACUAUUAGUGGCAAACGGGUGAGUAACACGUAGGAAUCUACCCUGUAGUACGGAACAACAGUUGGAAACGACUGCUAAUACCGCAUACGCUCCUUCGGGAGGAAAGAUUUAUCGCUAUAGGAUGAGCCUGCGCUAAAUUAGAUUGUUGGUGGGGUAAUGGCCUACCAAGUCGAUGAUUUAUAGCUGGUCUGAGAGGACGAUCAGCCACACUGGAACUUAGAAACGGUCCAGACUCCUACGGGAGGCAGCAGUGAGGAAUAUUGGACAAUGGGCGCAAGCCUGAUCCAGCAAUGCCGCGUGAAUGAUGAAGGCCUUAGGGUGUAAAGUCUUUCGGUGGGGAAGAAAUGACGGUACCCACAGAAGAAGCUCCGGCU
rnacentral:rRNA from 1 species